UUUCCGUAGGUGAACCUGCGGAAGGAUCAUUCAUAAUAAAGUGUUUUAUGGCACUUUUUUAAAUCCAUAUCCACCUUGUGUGCAAUGUCAGGGUUGAUUUUUCUCUCGAGAGGAUCAGCCCCAAACAUCAACUAUAUCUCAACUCUUUGUCUGAAAAAUAUUAUGAAUAAAACAAUUCAAAAUACAACUUUCAACAACGGAUCUCUUGGCUCUC
rnacentral:misc_RNA from 1 species